rnacentral:rRNA from 1 species
UACGUAGGGGGCAAGCGUUGUCCGGAAUCAUUGGGCGUAAAGCGCGUGUAGGCGGGUCGGUAAGUCCGCUCUGAAAGCCCGGGGCUCAACCCCGGGAGGCGGGUGGAUACUGUCGACCUCGAGUCCGGAAGAGGCGAGUGGAAUUCCUGGUGUAGCGGUGAAAUGCGCAGAUAUCAGGAGGAACGCCAAUGGCGAAGGCAGCUCGCUGGGACGGUACUGACGCUGAGACGCGAAAGCGUGGGGAGCAAACAGG